CAGCCGCCGCGGGAAUACGUAGGGUGCGAGCGUUAAUCGGAAUUACUGGGCGUAAAGCGUGCGCAGGCGGUUCGUUAAGACAGAAGUGAAAUCCCCGGGCUUAACCUGGGAACUGCAUUUGUGACUGGCGAGCUAGAGUAUGGCAGAGGGGGGUAGAAUUCCACGUGUAGCAGUGAAAUGCGUAGAGAUGUGGAGGAAUACCGAUGGCGAAGGCAGCCCCCUGGGCCAAUACUAACGCUCAUGCACGAAAGCGUGGGGAGCAAACAGGAUUAGAUACCCCCGUAGUCCCUGUCUCUUAUAC
rnacentral:rRNA from 1 species